rnacentral:rRNA from 1 species
AUGAUGGCAAGGAGAAGUUCCUCUUCCUCCAGCAGACCCCCGCCAAGCCCAAGCCCAGGACCAGCGCAUUAUGCGCCACCGCCGGAGGAGACAAGCGCGCCACCAAUAAAACACAGGCGCAGCUGCAGCAGAAGCAGAGCAAGAAGAAGGGGGCGGUCACCGCUCCGACGGAGAUGGACAUGGCCACCAUGCACAGGCAGUACAAAAACUUCUUUAUUGCCGGGCAGUACGAAACCUGUAUUCCACAGAAGUACAAGGCAAAUUUGUGUUCUUUUAAAAUAA